UACGUAGGGUGCAAGCGUUGUCCGGAUUUAUUGGGCGUAAAGAGCUCGUAGGCGGUUUGUCGCGUCUGCUGUGAAAGCCCGAGGCUCAACCUUGGGUCUGCAGUGGGUACGGGCAGACUAGAGUGCGGUAGGGGAGAUUGGAAUUCCUGGUGUAGCGGUGGAAUGCGCAGAUAUCAGGAGGAACACCGAUGGCGAAGGCAGAUCUCUGGGCCGUUACUGACGCUGAGGAGCGAAAGCAUGGGGAGCGAACAUG
rnacentral:rRNA from 1 species